AAAAAAAAAGAGGGGUAUAAAUAGAACUUAGUAUAUAAUUUAUUUUUGUUUGAUAGGUAUAUUUUAAGAAUGUGAAGUAAAAUAAAAAUAUUUAAAAAAUUUAGUAUAAUUAAAAAUAUAUAUUUUAUAAUAAAAAUUAUUAAAAUAAAGUGUUUUUGAGAUAAAUAAAAUAUCUCUAAAAUAAUUAAUUAAUUAAUUGGGAGUAAAAUGAAAUAAAGUAUAAUUAAUAAAUAAUCAAAAUUUCUUUUGAGAAAAUAAAUAACCAGGUUUAAUGUAAAUAUUUUGGUAAAUAAAUUUAAGGGUAUAAAAGGAAAAAUAUGAAAACCCUAAUCUAAACCCUAUUUCCUCUUCUUCUUCCUCCUGCCUCUUCUUUUAUCCUCUCUCUCUGGCCUCUUUUCUCGAGCAGCUCUGCUCGCUAGACGGAAGUGCUCCGGCCACCCCAGGUCCCGAUGGACCUCACCACGUAGAUCCCCACCCCAGAAACCCCCAAACCCACCCCUUUCCUCCCACUCGAUCCCUCCUUUCUCCCUCUCACCAUCACUCUCGUCUGAUUUGGGCACCUCCAGGUUUUGUUUCAUAUUUGGUUGAGUAAAAAACCCAAUUUGUGUAGGUGUGUCUCGUUUCUUUGUGAAGAAAACCCAAUUUGGGGUUAUCCUCCUUAAGGGCUUCAAGAAUAUGUGGCUCGAUCCUUCUUGCAUCCACUCUGACUGAGAACUACCGCCACUAGUGGAGGAGCUCUGGCGAGCAUUUCAACCAGCCGUAGCCGUUGUUCUUAGAGUUUGAGUUUAUUUAUUUGGAUAUAAAUUAUUUACUAUUCAGUGUAAUUGUUUGAAUUCGAUAAACGUGUGUAAAUUAAUUCUUAAAUUGUAUAUACUUUAUAUUGAAAAAUAUUGUAAACAUAAUAAUUUAAAUUUAUAUUUAUGAUUGUAAUUUCUUUAA